AGGAUUAACGCUGGCGGCGUGCCUAACACAUGCAAGUCGAACGAGGUAGCAAUACCUAGUGGCAGACGGGUGAGUAACGCGUGGUCAACCUACCGUUGAGUGGGGGAUAACUAGCCGAAAGGUUAGCUAAUACCGCAUACGUCUCCGAGGGGCAUCCCUUGGCGAUAAAAGGAGCAAUCCGCUCGAUGACGGGACCGCGUCCCAUUAGCUAGAUGGUGGGUAACGGCCUACCAUGGCACCGAUGGGUAGCUGGUCUGAGAGGACGACCAGCCACACUGGGACUGAGACACGGCCCAGACUCCUACGGGAGGCAGCAGUGAGGAAUUUUCCGCAAUGGGCGAAAGCCUGACGGAGCGACGCCGCGUGCACGAGGAAGGUCUUCGGAUCGUAAAGUGCUGUCGAGGGGGACGAUUAUGACGGUACCCUGGAGGAAGCCCGGCUAACUACGUGCCAGCAGCCGC
rnacentral:rRNA from 1 species